AUUCUGUCGGGCCCUAUGCCACCUAUUGGAGUACUCCUCACUGCUCCAUUGGUCGCAGAGGGCUUGUCAUAUAUUCGUCUGCAUCUAAUAAUCCAUGAAGGACCUGCAGUUCGAUGGUGACUAGGAAUCGUUGUGUUAGAUGGCGGACUGUCUAAGGCGGUAGAGGCCAUCUUGGAAUCUCCGUGUGGCCACCUCCUCGAAGAUCCAACGGUCAGUCUCCUCGUCUUAAAGAGUCUCGAAUCAAUAGUACUCCCA
rnacentral:lncRNA from 1 species